AUACAUAUCUGGUAGGAGAGACACCAUGAUCUAGAAGGUGGUUCACCCAGAGCGAGGCUCGGCCAUUGCAAUUUGGCUGAUUUUACCCCUGCGAAUUCCCCAAAUAUGGGAAUCUCGACUGCAUAAUUUAUGGUAGUGGGGGACUGCGUUCGCACUCUGCCCUG